GCUUGGCAGACGUCCUUAUCCUCCUCCCAGGGACGGCUGCAGGAAUAGCGGAACUCCUCCUCCCAUCCGCUGUUCGGUUCUUGUAAAAAGCCUGCCGCUCCUCCUCCCGCGGCAGGCUUUUUCG
rnacentral:sRNA from 2 species